rnacentral:rRNA from 1 species
GAUGAACGCUGGCGGCGUGCCUAAUACAUGCAAGUCGAGCGAACAGACGAGGAGCUUGCUCCUCUGACGUUAGCGGCGGACGGGUGAGUAACACGUGGAUAACCUACCUAUAAGACUGGGAUAACUUCGGGAAACCGGAGCUAAUACCGGAUAAUAUAUUGAACCGCAUGGUUCAAUAGUGAAAGACGGUUUUGCUGUCACUUAUAGAUGGAUCCGCGCCGCAUUAGCUAGUUGGUAAGGUAACGGCUUACCAAGGCAACGAUGCGUAGCCGACCUGAGAGGGUGAUCGGCCACACUGGAACUGAGACACGGUCCAGACCCCUACGGGAGGCGGCAGUAGGGAAUCUUCCGCAAUGGGCGAAAGCCUGACGGAGCAACGCCGCGUGAGUGAUGAAGGUCUUCGGAUCGUAAAACUCUGUUAUUAGGGAGAACAAAUGUGUAAGUAACUAUGCACGUCUUGACGGUACCUAAUCAGAAAGCCACGGCUAACUACGUG